CCUACGGGUGACAGCAGUGAGGAAUAUUGGUCAAUGGCCGGAAGGCUGAACCAGCCAAGCCGCGUGAAGGACGACGGUGCCAAGCAUUGUAAACUUCUUUUGUCAAGGGACAAAAUCAGGCUCGCGACCCUCCCCGAGGGUACCCGAAGAAAAAGCAUCGGCUAACUCCGUGCCAGUAGCCGCGGUAAUACGUAGGUGGCGAGCGUUAUCCGGAAUGAUUGGGCGUAAAGGGUGCGUAGGCGGCCUGCUAAGUCUGGAGUGAAAGGUACCGGCUCAACCGGUACAGGCUCUGGAAACUGGCGGGCUAGAGAGCAGGAGAGGGCCGUGGAACUCGAUGUGUAGCGGUAAAAUGCGUAGAUAUAUGGAAGAACACCAGUGGCGAAGGCGGCCGCCUGGCCUGUUACUGACGCUGAGGCACGAAAGCGUGGGGAGCAAAUAGGAUUAGAUACCCUUGUAGUC
rnacentral:rRNA from 1 species